UACGUAGGUGGCAAGCGUUGUCCGGAUUUAUUGGGUUUAAAGGGUGCGUAGGCGGUCCCAUAAGUCAGUGCUGAAAUAUCCCGGCUUAACCGGGAGGGUGGCAUUGAUACUGUGGGACUUGAGUAAAGUUGAGGUUGGCGGAAUUGACGGUGUAGCGGUGAAAUGCUUAGAUAUCGUCAAGAACACCUAUUGCGAAGGCAGCUAACUAAGCUUUAACUGACGCUGAGGCACGAAAGUGUGGGGAUCAAACAGG
rnacentral:rRNA from 1 species